rnacentral:ncRNA from 1 species
ACAAAGGCUCUUUUAAGAGCCACCACAUGGUCUUGGAAAAGAGCUCG